GCCAACUGGGAAGCUCAGUCGGUAGAGCAUGAGACUUUUAAUCUUAGGGUUGUGGGUUCGAGCCCCACCUUGGGUG